ACGUACCCAUCCCGAACACGACCGUUAAGCCCUCCAGCGCCGAUGGUACUUGGACCGCAGGGUCCUGGGAGAGUAGGGCGCCGCCAAGC
rnacentral:rRNA from 1 species